rnacentral:rRNA from 1 species
UACGUAGGGACCGAGCGUUGUCCGGAAUCACUGGGCGUAAAGGGUGCGUAGGCGGGUUUUUAAGUCAGAGGUGAAAUCCUGGAGCUCAACUCCAGAACUGCCUUUGAUACUGAAAGUCUUGAGUAUGGGAGAGGUGAGUGGAACUGCGAGUGUAGAGGUGAAAUUCGUAGAUAUUCGCAAGAACACCAGUGGCGAAGGCGGCUCACUGGCCCAUAACUGACGCUGAGGCACGAAAGCGUGGGGAGCAAACAGGG